rnacentral:rRNA from 1 species
GAUGAACGCUGGCGGCGUGCCUAAUACAUGCAAGUCGAGCGAAUGGAUUAAGAGCUUGCUCUUAUGAAGUUAGCGGCGGACGGGUGAGUAACACGUGGGUAACCUGCCCAUAAGACUGGGAUAACUCCGGGAAACCGGGGCUAAUACCGGAUAACAUUUUGAACCGCAUGGUUCGAAAUUGAAAGGCGGCUUCGGCUGGCACUUAUGGAUGGACCCGCGUCGCAUUAGCUAGUUGGUGAGGUAACGGCUCACCAAGGCAACGAUGCGUAGCCGACCUGAGAGGGUGAUCGGCCACACUGGGACUGAGACACAGCCCAGACUCCUACGGGAGGCAGCAGUAGGGAAUCUUCCGCAAUGGACGAAAGUCUGACGGAGCAACGCCGCGUGAGUGAUGAAGGCUUUCGGGUCGUAAAACUCCGUUGUUAGGGAAGAACAAGUGCUAGUUGAAUAAGCUGGCACCUUGACGGUACCUAACCAGAAAGCCACGGCUAACUACGUGCCAGCAGCCGCAGUAA